rnacentral:lncRNA from 1 species
AUCACAUUUAGGUGUGUGGCCUCGUCUGCUUUUAGUGGGGUUAGGUAUUUUUGUUUAUUCGGGCUUGAGGUAAUGUCAAAGUAUUGUUUUUCAAGAAUGUUUAAACAUUCAGACGCACUCACACACACCGCUCUUUAAUAAUCCCUUUAUCUGCCUGAAGCUGAAAUAACUUACUUUCUUGUAAGGAACUGUUAUUGAGAGUUACUUAUUACUAACUAGAUGCAGACAUUGAUUUCAUUAACGAAUAAGUACAGUCCCAAAGAGCUUUUGAUUUUUUUUUUAAUUGCAUAACAUGUAGAGUAUAAACACAAACUGCUUUUUUCAGAACUGUGCUUUUUUAAUUGCUUGAUUUAAAAGGAUUCCUGGAUCAGCAUUUUCUCUCAUUUUUUCUAGUGUAUCUCUGCAACUUCCAAAGCUGGCUGGAGCUAGAUAUGAGAUCUAGAAGUACCAACCUGUGCGGAUGGAUAAGUGGCUAACAGAAAACAGCAGGCUGAAGAGAAGAUCACAUCCACGAAGGUGGAGGCUGCUGUAUCCUGACAAAGACCCUGGUGUAAUACAUGCACCCUAAAGGGUCUCCCAGACCUACCUAUAAGCCGCUCCAGUGGUUGGCCUCCAGCUGUUGCUCCAUCCACAUAACAGCCAGUGACUAUAUGAGAGUGUGCAUGUGCCUGAACUCAAAUGAUUAUCACCUUCAAUUGAACUGAAGCAGACAGCCGGGCAGACUCACAUACAUCAUCGUAGGUACAGGGAAAAGGAAACAGUGACUAUGCACUAGUGGAUUUAACACAUUUUAUUACUGUAUGUUGUAAUAAAAAAAAAAAUGUUUCCUUCUCUGAAUCUGUG